rnacentral:rRNA from 1 species
GAUGAACGCUGGCGGCGUGCCUAAUACAUGCAAGUCGAGCGAACGGACGAGAAGCUUGCUUUUCUGAUGUUAGCGGCGAACGGGUGAGUAACACGUGGAUAACCUACCUAUAAGACUGGGAUAACUUCGGGAAACCGGAGCUAAUACCGGAUAAUAUUUUAAACCGCAUGGUUCAAAAGUGAAAGACGGUCUUGCUGUCACUUAUAGAUGGAUCCGCGCUGCAUUAGCUAGUUGGUAAGGUAACGGCUUACCAAGGCAACGAUGCAUAGCCGACCUGAGAGGGUGAUCGGCCACACUGGAACUGAGACACGGUCCAGACUCCUACGGGAGGCAGCAGUAGGGAAUCUUCCGCAAUGGGCGAAAGCCUGACGGAGCAACGCCGCGUGAGUGAUGAAGGUCUUCGGAUCGUAAAACUCUGUUAUUAGGGAAGAACAUAUGUGUAAGUAACUGUGCACAUCUUGACGGUACCUAAUCAGAAAGCCACGGCUAACUACGUG